AACGUAGGUGGCAAGCGUUAUCCGGAUUUACUGGGCGUAAAGGGCGCGUAGGCGGUCACGCACGUCCGUUGUGAAAUCGCUCGGCUCAACUGGGCGGGGUCAGCGGAUACGGCGUGGCUGGAGCAAGCUAGGGGGCAAUGGAAUUCCCGGUGUAGUGGUGGAAUGCGUAGAUAUCAGGAGGAACACCGGUGGCGAAGGCGGUUCUCUGGGCCUUACCUGACGCUGAGGAGCGAAAGCGUGGGGAGCGAACAGG
rnacentral:rRNA from 1 species